rnacentral:misc_RNA from 1 species
GAAAUGCGAUAAGUAAUGUGAAUUGCAGAAUUCAGUGAAUCAUCGAAUCUUUGAACGCACAUUGCGCCCGCGAGUAUUCUCGCGGGCAUGCCUGUCCGAGCGUCAUUUCAACCCUCAGGGCCCCGUCUGCUUUGGCUGGCGGUGGUGCUGGUGUUGGGGAUCGGCUUCAUUGCCGUCCCCUAAAUACAGUGGCGGUCUCGCUGCAGCCUCCCCUGCGUAGUAGCAACACUCGCAUGCGGAGCGCGGCGCGGCCACGCCGUAAAACCCCCGACUUUCUGAACGUUGACCUCGGAUCAGGUAGGAAUACCCGCUGAACUUAA